ensembl:lncRNA
CGCCGCCGUCGCCAGACCCCGAGCCCGGUUCCUUCGCCCCGCCCACCGCGCCGGCACCACCAAUCAAGUCUCAGCACUGACGAGUAAAAAGCUGACCGCAGAACGCACCGUACGCAAGCCGCCAGGAAACGACUUUCUUCUCUACAUGGCCCACGCCGAUUGGCCGGGGCAGGCGCUGACAGGCUGUCACGCCCUCUCGUUGGCCAAUAGGAUCGCAGUAGGAAAUAAUGGUGGAACCAUGCCCGGCCGCGCGAGAGCGCCCUGCCCAAGCGACAUCUCUGAUUGGUCACGCGCCCGUUCCUACAAGGCCCACAAUGCCUCGCAGAGGUCACUCCUGACGCGCUGCCGUCACUACGGGUCGCGAGGCGUCACGGCGCGGUAGGACUACAUUACCCACAGUCCCCCGCGCCGAACUGCGCAAGGAGCCGCGGGGCAGCCCUACCUGAGGAAGGGGCGGGAGGGCCAAGCCAUUUGUGUCGGGGGAGUGAUGCGCGCAGGCCGGGCGCAUGCUGCCCCUCAGCUAGUCUGGCGCUCGGCAUCCAUCGCUGUGUGCAAAAGCAAGCCGUACCAACCUCGGAUCACUGCUAUUUUAUUACACGAGGUUUCAGCAGGACGUUCCGUGUGCUUAAGUGACGCCCGAUCUCAGUUCCGUUACGUUCACAGGUCACCCCACAAAAGCCGCUGCGCUUAACAACCCUCUCAGAAGCAAAUUCUUCCCGCUACAGUGGGCGCCCCGCCCAGCAGCGCUCCUCCCGGCCAGGCAGAGGCACGCGGCGCCACGUGCGGCAGCGAAGGUGCGCAUGCGCACAAGGCGGGGCUGACGAGAGGGGGGGCGGGAAUAAAGGCACGUGCUGCGGGGCGGUUUUCAUUAGUUUUUGUAAAGGGGGAAGCGUGCGCGCGUGGUUUGUUUGGUGCUGUUGCAGAGGGGCGGUUGUGGUCACGAGCGAGUGGUGGUGCGUGCCUGUAGGAGGUCUUGGUGCAGGCGAAGCGCUGUGUCUGUGCCUUCUGAGGUCCUGCCAGCGUCUGCCUUUGUGCCUUUCCUACAUGGGGCUGCACGGGCCUUCCCUUCCAAGAGAAUGUGCUGCUUCCCUGUUGGGCAUGAAAAAUUAACACCGUAUCACCUGAAGAGUUAAAAGGAGGUCAGAUAAGAGAAUAAAUCUGUCUUUUUCACAACUGGGUCA